UUGGAGUUUUCUUAUUCCUGGAGCAAGC
rnacentral:piRNA from 1 species